UACGUAGGGUGCAAGCGUUGUCCGGAGUUAUUGGGCGUAAAGGGCUCGUAGGCGGUCUGUCACGUCGGGAGUGAAAACUCAGGGCUUAACCCUGAGCCUGCUUCCGAUACGGGCAGACUAGAGGUAUGCAGGGGAGAACGGAAUUCCUGGAGUAGCGGUGAAAUGCGCAGAUAUCAGGAAGAACACCGGUGGCGAAGGCGGUUCUCUGGGCAUUACCUGACGCUGAGGAGCGAAAGUGUGGGUAGCAAACAGG
rnacentral:rRNA from 1 species